rnacentral:rRNA from 1 species
UACGUAGGUGACCAGCGUUGUCCGGAUUUACUGGGCGUAAAGAGCGCGCAGGCGGUCGUUCAAGUCGAGUGUGAAAGCCCCCGGCUCAACUGGGGAGGGUCACUCGAUACUGAUCGACUGGAAGGCAGGAGAGGGAAGCGGAAUUCCCGGUGUAGUGGUGAAAUGCGUAGAUAUCAGGAGGAACACCGGUGGCGAAGGCGGUUCUCUGGGCAUUACCUGACGCUGAGGAGCGAAAGUGUGGGGAGCGAACAGG